GACUCUUUGGCCGAGUGGUCUAAGGCGCUGUGUUAAGGCCGCAGUCUUUAUUGGCGGGGGUUCGAAUCCCCCAGGAGUCA